AUAAAUCUCCUCAUGCUUCGGCCGUGCGUGGAGCAGCCAGCUUCCGGGAUGUGGCUGGAGCAAGGCUUGUUGUCCUUCUUAAGGUGAUUCUGCAGUCCUUGCCUUGGUCUAAGUCUCAGCUGUUGCUGGUUUUUACACGGCUGAGGUGGAUUCAGGCUGGGAUUCCCUCUACCUUCAUCGCUGUGGGAUUGGUCAGGUUCAGGUCUGAGGUCCUUUCCAUUGUGGCUUUAGAGGGGCUGUACUCCCGUCCUUUUUCCACACGUGAUUACCUAGUGAGAAAGGGUGAGCUGGGGAGAAAAAGGCUUACAGGACAUUUGUUAUUUACUCAGGUUGAAGGAUCCUAAGCGAUUCUCCUUAGAGCUGGUGACUAGCAUCCUAACUCAAUCUCUCCCCACUCCCGAGGAGUUUCUAGGAGUGCCCAGAGUAGGGGAGGGGGCCUAUGGUAUAAGACUUCAUAGCGGAAUAUCCUGUUUUUCCUAAAGGGGGUGCCUCUAAUUUUGAAUAACCCCAAGGGAAUUUUUUGUUUAAUGGGU